UCACACCAGUCGGGACAGUAGCGGCGUCCUAUUUCUGAAAUCCGCUGUAGCAGAGAUGGAUUCCGGUUUUGAGGGUCAGCUUCGACUCAGCUGUCAUGUAGGAUUUGUGUUGAGGCUUGGGCCUUACGCAAUUAUCCCUCAUGAACCAUGUCAGGCGGGGAACCGAGCAGCAUUAAGUGAUACGGAUGAUGUGCCGUAAGUAAACCUGAUCUGAGCAAUCCCUACAAAGGACGUUUGUCGCCUCUGAUUCGAUUUUCCGGUGUGUGA
rnacentral:SRP_RNA from 1 species